UCAGCCAGGCAUAGCUGUGGAAGCUGUGGUUAAGGAAGCAUGAGAUUCAGUCCUUAAUGGGAGUGAUGUGUAUGAGGUCCCACGGCUGCCGACAGGGAAAGGAGACCGAGCAGACAGCAGAGAGGUGGAAGCAGCCAAGACCCAGAGGAGGCAGCCACAAAGGAACUGUGACUGCAGAAGCAGGGGCGGCCCUGGAUGAGGGAAUUCCUCACAGAGAAGCAGCAAGUGCCAAGGCAGUCAGGCAGAGAAGCACAGAGCACCGGGAGAAACAGCAUGGGCCCGCAUUUGGGACCUCAGUGGCAGGAACAUGGCGUGCCUGAAGGCCUGUGGACAGCAUCUUUGGCUCGUGAUUGACAGCGGAGAACGGAAACUGGGGAAGCAAACUAACAGAUAAGGGCGGCUGCUAUCCACACAGGACUAAUUGGGCUCCAGCUAUGGGGGCACCCGGCUGGCCUCCUCUACAUAAAGUCUCUCCUUGACCAGCUCUGAUGACAAAUGAGUCUGACAAGGAGGUCUCCUCUUCGAUUCACAUAAUUAAUUAUCCCUGGAGAAAUGGCCAAUUUAGGAGCACGUUUUUCUUUCUGAAGAGACAGGCCGGCGGACUAAGGGAAGGCAAAAGAAGUCCCACAAGCAGCCGAGCACAGACCCCCACAGCCGCAGGAUCAGCACUUGGAAGUCCUCGGAAACCUCCUUCGGAGGUUCGCGUUCUCCCCGAGGAUUUGGGAAGAAGUCGAGAGUGGUUAUUGUGCUAGUGACCGUGGAGGAGAGAACAGCAAGGCCGUUCUGCUGGGUGACGGUUUGAGAGAGAAGCAUUUCUGUGGGCGAGGAAAAGAGAGAGGGGAGGAGUCUCCAAACCCUGCUCCAAGCUGCUCCCAGCAGGACGGGGUCUCCUUCCCUCCCCGUCUUUGCUUCCCCUCCCCCAACUCUCUUUCUAAGCCCCUCUCCAAAAAGGUUUAUGGAGGAGUCUCCAAAUAGCCCCCUCUCCUGCAGGCAUAGUCACACCAACUGAAAGGAGAUUUAAUUAGCAAAAUCUCGUUAGGCAAACGAAAUUAUCCGUAAGACAAUACUCUUCUGGACAGGGGGUAUGAUUAAACAAAGCCAUUAAUUGAGAGAGUCGCUUUGGCAGCUCCCGAGUUGCGUUCAUCUCCGGGCAGGCUCCACUCUGCCUCCGUGGACCUGAGGAACAGACUCUUGGCCUCCUCCCCUUGCCUGCCUAGCCCACCUCCUUCCCACUUCAUCUCUGCUCUUCCCAGGGCCCCUCCGGUUAGGGCUGCAGACCUCGCAUCUCAUCAGCGGCCUCUCUGCUGCCAGAUUCCCGCUAAAGUGCCUUGAUUGCAUAAUGUCUAUUUGCAUAAUGUAAAUUGCAAUCUCCUAGCUUGGGAGGCAGGAAUCACAGAACAGCCAUUAUUUUUUACCACUCCACAAAAAUUCUACAUUUAGAAAGCAGAUUUGCAGCUCAGAAAGCCAUAUAAAUCUGAAUCCACCGAAACGCCAUUAAAUCACACCAAUUAGGCUGGACCUAUGCAGGGACCCUGUCACUGCUCUCCGCACACUCCAGCCCACAGGAGGCCACAGGACACUGGAGGCUGAGGCAGGCGGGGUGGAGGCAGAUGCUGAAAGGAUGAGGCAGGGAAUUCUAUCCUACAAACUUGAUCAGCACUCCCACGCACAACAUCCCUCUCAACACACACACACACACACACACACACACACAGAUGCGCCCACGCUGUUCCGAAAGGACCUGGUACAGCAAGGAGGGGAAGCCGGUCUGUGUUCUUCAGGUUCAUUGUCUGAUGUCUUGUAGGUUGCAGUCUGUCUUGGCUGCAGACUUUUUCAAAUGAUUAUUGUGAUUAUAUUUAGCGUCUCUGUAUAUGAUCAUUGCUUUAUCGUUGGCUUGGAACUGGCUCGGUGGACCAGGCUAGCCUCAGACGCACACAGAGAUUUGCCUGCUUCUGCCUCAGUGAUUGGGAAUUAAAGUGUGCACCAGCGUGCCCAUUUGUUUCAGACUUGUGACUUUGGAGAAGAAAGUGAAAGUGCGCCUCUAAUCAAAAGCAAUACCGGGUGCUUCACAGAGGAGUGAGAUCAAUUCCUAUCAAUGCUUUUUUUAACCUCCCCUCCUCUCCAGCCCUGGGGAAAGAAAAAGAGGCCAGGCAAAAACCUGGCUCUGAGUAGGCUGCUUGGGAUGGAGUCUGAGCUCCCUGAAGAGCCCUCUCUGUGGGUCCUCAGAAGGAGGGGUGAGUCGGAAGGAGGGGUGAGUCACGAGGUCUCUGGAAGUGCGGCGUUCCCUUGGACAAUUACCUAGCACUCCAGCUUUGCUGAAGCGGUAUACCUGGAUACUCUUCUGCCUCUUUAUUGCUCAUUCAAUAUUCAUUUGUCAAAGGGCAAGAUGCUAAUGUGUAUUAUUAAAAUAUCAAUAGUUUAUGAGUGAACUUUAUGGCAAGUACAGUUAAAGGCAAGAGUCUUGACCAUCUCUCAGAAGCAACAGAAAGGAGUAUUCUUUCUUUCUAGUGUCUUUCUUUCCCGUCCUUUUUUUAAAAUUUAUUUACUGAAUAAAUGAAUGGCACAAUUACGGUUGAGCACUGUGUGCCAGGAAUGACUCUGGAGUAUUCACAUCUGGUUUCCCCACAGUAGUCCUAGGGAGUGGACAUAAUACGAUUCCUUUAACUGUCCAAGUUUAACACAUUUCCUGACCUAAAUAUUAUGAAAGGGGGGGAAAAGAGGAAAUUAUUCCAUACCUCCAUGCCAGAGCGUCUUCAUAAAGCAGGCCCACUUUAACUGUACCUAAGUAAGUUCCCACACUCUCCACUCAGAAUCUGAAUACUGACGGUGACACUGGGGUUGAUGUCAUCAGACACUGUCUUGUUAGAGGAGAGUAAACUGAGACUCUUUCUUUUAAAUAAGAUUUUGUCAACAUAAUAAUUAUACAUAUUAAAGGGAGUUCAGUGAUUGUCUAUACACGCAUACAAUAUACACCGAGCAAAUAAUGAAGUAGUUUAAGUCUCAAUAACAGAGAGUUCUAAGUUGAAUUUCAACUGUGCCCCAGACCUCCUCCCUAUAGCAUUUCCCUUGUCCUCGGGGCCUUCUCUUCUUUGUACAUACAGAGCUAAUAACAGAACCCCAAGAAGUACGGUUUGAUGAGAAAUGCACCCCAAGGGCUUAGCACAGUGCCCAGUAUAUAGUAAACACUCAGCAGGCAUUGCUUACUAAUAUCAAAUUUGACUUCAUGUGGAAGGAAGCCAGACCCUAGAACCUUUCCAUCAAGACUAAGACCAUUUCCCCCCUCUCUUCCCUGCCUAGCUCUUGGCACUGGCCGUUCCCAAGUGUCAGCCCUUGUAAGAUGGACUGGUUCUGUUUCUACUCUUGGGUGACUUUGGGAUUUGUUUUUAUCCCUUAAGCCCCAAUAAAGCAGCCAGAGCACUCAUAUUCCCUUCAAAAUAUAGUAGCAUCUAUAUCCGGCAUGGGAAAGGGGAAUGAGAGUGGUUCCUUAAGGGUGCAGGCUCCCAGACCAGAGUGUGUGACAGAGGAAAAGGAGACCAGCAGAGGACUCAGAAGACCACGGAGAAGUUGGUGUGCAGAAUCCCCCACCCCAUCAGGUCCCUUGUAGUCUUUUAAGCUCCUAGCUUUGCCUGGAACCUCCCCCAGCUUUGAUAGCCAUCAAAAUGGAAAUAUGGGAAGCCUUGAUGUGAGCAAAGGGCUCAGGCUUGCAGAGUCCUUGUUUACAGGUCUAGAGUCUUCUAGAUCCAAGGUUUCCAGCUGUGGGUUAGAAACCCACAUUCUCCCUGGUAUGGACCACGAGGUCACAGUUUCUCCCAGCACAGGACCUCCUAGGUCUACCACCCCCUGCCUGGGAAGAAGCUGAGCUUGGCUUGGAGGGGGUUCCUAAGCUAAGGCUUCUUUCCAGGGUGUAAUGUAUAUUAUGGUGGUAAAUUGUCAUGCGUUGUUUAUGCUCACUGAGAAGCAGACUCUUGAAGCUAGGCUGUCCCUCAGCACACUUCAGAUCCAAGCAUGUUUAUGUGAACUAGCCUUUAAAACCCCUGUCCUGAAUCAGGCUGGCCGUUUGGUUCUGUGACAGGGAGAAAAAAACAGGAAGCAGCUAAGGGUAUUAAAAAACAUCAUGCCCUUGAGGAAAGCUUGAAGGCAAACCAUUUCCAACGGAGGUUACUAUUGUUUAUCCCACAAUGUAAAAAUGCCUCCAUGGGAACAAGAGGCCAGAAAUUCAGAAGUUAACCCGUGGGUGAAAAUCUCAACUGGGGACUCCAGCUGACUGCCUCAACCUCCCCAGUUGGUUUCUUCUGGAUGAUUGUAAGUACCUGGUUUGGUGACAUCAUCUUCCUGCUGUUAUUUGUUCUUUUAUUUGAAGUCUCACUCAAGGGGGCCCUUUGCUCUGUAUUGGACUCUCUCAGCUGUGAGCUGGCUGCCUCAAUGGGGCUUUCCCAGUCAGUUUCUACUGGACGUUUGUAUGCCCCUGAUUGAUGAUAUUACGAGUUGUUUGUGCUCUCUGUUGGGAUACUCCAAGUACCUCUACCACCUGAUUUGAGGAUAUCUUUUGCUAGCUGACUGCUGCUUCUGUUGCUACUCACUAUUUAUCUUUUAUCUUUUGUUUGCUAUCUGCUUAAUAAACUCAUUCCUUCAAAACCCAAA